rnacentral:tRNA from 2 species
UAGAAAAUGGUGUAGUGGAAGCACUAAGAGUUUUGAUCUCUUAAGAUGAGGUUCGAGUCCUC